AUACUUACCUGGCACAGGAGAAACCAUGAUCAAUAAGGUGGUUCUCCCAGGUCGAGGCUCGUCCAUUGCACUUCGGGCGGGCUGAACCCUGCGAUCACCCCAAAUGUGGGUGACUCGGGUGCGUAAUUUUUGCGUAUGGGGGACUGCGUUCGCGCUAUCCCCUG
rfam:Biomphalaria glabrata isolate BB02 unplaced genomic scaffold LGTN_random_Scaffold12767, whole genome shotgun sequence.